UACGGAGGGGGCAAGCGUUGUUCGGAAUUACUGGGCGUAAAGGGCGAGUAGGUGGCCAUCUAAGUCAGACGUGAAAUCCCCCGGCUUAACCGGGGAACUGCAUCUGAUACUGGAGGGCUUGAGUGCGGGAGAGGGAUGUGGAAUUCCAGGUGUAGCGGUGAAAUGCGUAGAUAUCUGGAGGAACACCGGUGGCGAAGGCGGCAAGUCCGUG
rnacentral:rRNA from 1 species